GGAGCCCUUCUGUGUGGAGUUUGCAUGUUCUCCCUGUGUCAGCGUGGGUUUCCUCCAGGUGCUCCAGCUUCCUCCCACAGUCCAAAGACAUGCAGGUUAAUUGGUGCCUCUAAAUUGUCCGUAGGUGUGAAUGUGAGUGUGAAUGGUUGUCUGUCUCUAUGUGUCAGCCCUGUGAUAGUCUGGUGACCUGUCCAGGGUGAACCCUGCCUCUCACCCAGUGUCAGCUGGGACAGGCUCCAGCACCCCACGACCCUCAACAGGAUAAGCGGUUACUGAAAAUGAAUGAAUGAAUGAAUGUAAAAAUGACCAUCUAACAACAACCUACUUGUUGUUGGCUAUAUUGUACGUCAUUUCCAGUAAAUAUCAAAAUAUAAAACAUUUUUCUGCUUAAAAAGUACGAAUGCAGAAAGAUGGCGAGCACUCACUCGUCUUUACAUGGUUACAUCUCCAGUCAAGUGCACAGCUGAUAGGUAGCCUACGUGUUUUUUCUUUACACAACAUAACAGUAAUGCAUAUUUAACAGAUUCAGUGUGACACAGAGUGACUCUUUAGGACACAGUGUUAAAUUCAUGUGAGACAUUUCCCAUGAACACAUUAAAAAAAGUGUGUGCAGUGCAGCUGCCACACAAUAUAAGACCCAGACAAAUGAGCUCAGCAAGAUAAUUUUGAAGUAUUCAGAAAGUAAUCCAAAGCAUUCAGUAAUCUAAUGGAAUACAUUACAAAUUACAGUACAGGGCAUGCAGUCAGUAAUCUGUAGUGAAACAUGUUUUAAACUUUAGGGGCUCCAUUAAAAGGAUCAAAAUGUCUCAAAACUCACUUCAAACUACAAGUUGAUGAUGUACUUAAAGAAGUCUAUGUAAUCAUACUCAGACUGUAUUUGGAUAUUUUUCCUUUCCUUGCUGAUUGAUCUCACUAAAAGUCGCAGGUAUCAGGGUUUUUCUCAUGUUAUAUUAAAUGCUUGUACACGCUCCUAUCUGGAUCAGAAACCAGCUUCAUGAUACCACUGAUCCAGGAUCACCUGUGUUAAGCUCCGUACAGCCAGGUAACCCAAAAAGAGCCAGACUUAGUUGGAUGUGCGUCACGACACAGACUUGUAAGUUGAACUUGCUUUGUCAUACAGGCUCCUGGAAAGAUGGUGUUUUGAGCUCGUUGCCACGUAAACAGAUGAACUUUGAACUCGAACCAUGACGUUCAAAACAAACAGUUACUGAGGGGUUUUUUAUCAGACAGUUUCUUAUCAACACGAGGAUUUUAAGAUGUUUCGUCAGACUGCACUGAGCUCUGAAUGUAAAAAGAGGUUAAUGUGCACAUUUCAUAUCUGAUGUAAAAAUUCAAGAAGCACAAUUUUCUUCAAGGUGCCACGAAUAUGUGCUCGGUUUAAACUUCUCUGUAGAGCUUUGUAUCUUAUCAAGAUUUCUUACCGCUGACCGAAAAAACAUUCUUUAUAAUGUCAUUUGUAAAUGUCACCAAAUCUCCUGGUAUGUAACAGACAGGUUCUUUUUCCCUGUUUUAAACAUGUUAAUAAAUGUGAAUAUCAGGAUUCAUUUUUGAAAACUAGAUAAA